rnacentral:tRNA from 1 species
GCCGAGGUAGCUCAGUGGUAGAGCGUGGGUCUGAAGAACCCAGCGUCGGGAGUUCAAUUCUCUCCCUCGGCA